UGGGGAAUUUUGGACAAUGGGCGAAAGCCUGAUCCAGCAAUGCCGCGUGUGUGAAGAAGGCCUUCGGGUUGUAAAGCACUUUUGUCCGGAAAGAAAUCCUUGGGCUCUAAUACAGUCGGGGGAUGACGGUACCGGAAGAAUAAGCACCGGCUAACUACGUGCCAGCAGCCGCGGUAAUACGUAGGGUGCAAGCGUUAAUCGGAAUUACUGGGCGUAAAGCGUGCGCAGGCGGUUUGCUAAGACCGAUGUGAAAUCCCCGGGCUCAACCUGGGAACUGCAUUGGUGACUGGCAGGCUAGAGUAUGGCAGAGGGGGGUAGAAUUCCACGUGUAGCAGUGAAAUGCGUAGAGAUGUGGAGGAAUACCGAUGGCGAAGGCAGCCCCCUGGGCCAAUACUGACGCUCAUGCACGAAA
rnacentral:rRNA from 1 species